GGUCUGUAGGCUGCUUCUCUUUGACACGCGCUGCAGACACUUGAGAGUGCAGCCCCAAACCCCUCGAACGUCCUGUGAACAGACACUGAAGCCAUGGAGACAUUUGUAAUGCAGAGUCAAGCCAGGCAGCUGCUACACAACAAGUUUGUGUUGGUUCUUGGAGGCUCAGUGCAGCGCUCAAUGUACAAAGACCUGGUUCUGCUGCUUCAGAGGGAUAAGUUCUUAACUCUGCCUCAGCUCAAGUCCAAAGUAAAU